rnacentral:sRNA from 1 species
GCCAGGUGUGGUGGUGUACACCUGUAAUCCCAGUGGCUUGGGAGGCUGAGGCAGGAGGAUCACAAGUUCAAAGCCAGCCUCAGCAAAAGUGAGGCACUAAGCAACUCAGUGAGACCCUGUCUCUA